UACUUUUUUUGGGGAAGUAAUUAGUAACUGAUUACUUUUUUUCAAGUAACUUGACCAACACUGCUCCCCAGUCAGCCAUGCCUCCUUGUCAUGUCUGCGUCUCCGUGCCCGUCUUGUGUUUCCUGGUUUACUUUGAUAGUUUCAUGUCCCGUGUUCAGUGUUUUGAGUUUUGCUUUGUCUCAUUAUGAAUGAUUAGUCUCACCUGUGUUUCCCUCCUGUUUCCCAUUCCAUCGUUACUUCCUUGUGUAGUUUAGCCCUGAGCGUUCCCCUGUCCAUUGUCGCAUCGUAUCCCCUCUUUGCUGUGUAUAACUUGCGGGCUCCUAGUAAAUUCCUAGUUCUCCAUUUUCUAGUUUAGUUCCUUAGUUUUUUGGUUUGAGUUUCUUAUUUAUAAUUCCUUGUUUUCAGUUUGGUUUUCUGUAAACGUGCAGAAUUAUUUCCAGCAUUAAAGCUGCUGCUUUCAGUCAGCUUCUCCUGUUUGAGUCCUGCAUCCUUGACAGAAACAUUGUAUUUGUCAUAAGCUACUUUUACCGGUGGUGUUCGUUGGUACAGCUGUCCAAACAGAGGCACCCAAACAUCCUCUUCCCAACUUCUCCAGCUCUUCCAGAGGAAAGUCAAGUCAGCUGAAGGACGUUCUCUCUAGCUUGUCAUGGGUCCUCCUCCUGGUGGUACAUGCCCACAGUGCCGUACCUAGAAGGUGCCCAGAAAGCAUCCUGAUUUCAAACCCAAACAACCUCCACUGGCUCCUUUCGAUGUGGUGAAGAAGCGGCUGCUCUUUGAGACCCUAUCUAAUCCUUACACAUAAUUUUCAGCAUAGAUGGGGACAGGAAGGUGGAUCAACAGCUGUAUUUCAUGUUCAGCUCUCUCAUCACUACAACAACAAGUACAACGAUCAACAUCAGUGGUUCACAGGAAAAUAUGGUUUAGUGGUGGAAGCCUCUGCCCACGGCCCGUCUGUCUACCUGCAGAGAGCAUCUGUUGUCAGAUAGGGGCAGUGAUCGCUCUGUCCACCAAUCAGCAUUGGAUCAACGCACAAUGACGCUCAUGUCGAGGACCGUGCAGUCGGGAUCAUGGAGGACUGCAUGGAAGCAUGUUUACCCUGGCUGAAAAUUUCUCUCUGUAGGAACAUACAUACACAAACGAACAAUCGCAGCACCAGAUAUUAAUUAUUAUGCAACACCAGUCUGUCAGCCUCAUGCUCCAUUGUCCCCUCAGACCAUGAGAUACUUAAACUCUUCCACAUGGAGCAGGAACUCGGAGUGGACGCUCCACCCUUUUCCUACCGAGAACCAUGGCGUGAGACUUUUAGUCGGAAAAAUAUUUAUGUUUAAAUCUUUGCACAUUUAUAAUAUUUGAAGUAAUUUUAUGAUCCAGUUCAACAGACCAACUGUUGCCCAGAGAUCAGCUUGGUCACUCAAUAUAAAGUUACACAAGUCAAUAAAAAGCCUUUAAAGGCUUUGUUGUCUUCUACUCAUCACUCCUGUAUAAAUGAAUGUCCAAAUUUAUGACGAUAUCUUUAUAGCAAUAAGAGUUUCAGAGCAGGAGGAUUUUUCGGUGACUUCUUAGAAACUGUAGUUCCCCGAGUCGACCUCAAUGCCACUGCCCCUCUACCCACCUCCUCACCUCUGUGCCUCUGACUCCUGCCAACCUGGUUGGUUAUAUAACCUGUAAAUGAGAAGGUCAGCACCCGGCAGUCAUCACUAUGGAUACCUGGCACGGACUCGCACACGCACAGUACAUCUUGGCGGGUCCACUUUAGGCGCCACAUGUGCAUGUGUGCUAUAGUGUGUGUAUCAGAAGUAGGGCAGCCGCGGCGUUACCUAACUCACCCAGAAAAGACAUCUGGGGAGUUGAUUACAGCUUCCUGUGCGCAAACACAAGGCAACCAUCAAUCAUACGCAUGCAAGCGGCCCGCUCACACCCGUUCAUGCGAGCAGGCGCGCACAAACAUUUGGCUCACAUUUUGGCCACACACAGGGAGAAAGGCGCACAAACAAAUAAAAGGCACACAUUUGCAGGCACGUGUACACGCCAAGACGGUCACGUGAGUCCAUGAGGCCGCGUUUAGGAGAAAUUAAAGAAAAGUUUUUGCUUGAAAAAUGAGCCCAAGCUUCACUUAAACAGAGCAGGGGAAAAAAUAUGUUACCCGACUUUACAGAUCGACGUCUCGAGUGUUUGAUCAGUCCACUCUGCCAUAAAUCACCCACUGUGGGUUCGACUUGCACGUGUUUUCUGGACUAUUUUCCAUCUGCAAUAAUUCCACUAGUUUAGAAUCUAAUCCCAUUUCUGUGCUUGUUUGAUGCUUACAUUAAGAGGAUUGAUAGUUAGGAAGGCAUCAGUCUGUUACAAGCAGCACACAUCUGAGUCGUCUGUGUGCAGCUGAAUAAUAAUAAUAAUAAUGAAUCGUAUUUGUUGGCAUCUUAAAAAUUAACAACGGCAUUAAAAGCAAUUUAAAAUAAAAUGAUUGUAAAUAUGUGAAACACGUUUUUAGCUGGCGUGCUGAUGUAAACAGAUGUGUUUUGAGCUUCUGAUAUGACCCAACAAGUCUGAAGUGAGGUGCUGUCAGGAGAGCAGCUGAAGCUGAGCGGAGGAAAGAUGUCGUCGUGCCAAGUCAGAGAGCUUUCAAAGGCAGAGAAGCAAAAUCUUGUAUUGGAUAUGUUGAGAAUGUGGAGCUGGAUGAGAACAGGCUAAUUCAUUGCCAGUAUUUUAAGACUCACACUUGGUCAGUUUUCAUUCAUAUUUUAAACAUUAAAUGAAAAAAUGUUUUUGACUUUUUUAAAAUUUCCGUGAGCUUGAGCCUUAAAGGGACACUGAGAUGGUGCUCCUGAUGCAGUUCAGUAAGGAAGCAGUCACUGUAAACAUGCAGCACAUCAAACAACCUGACAAAACACCGACUGUGAGCUUGAUCUCAGUCAGUCCUGAGCAGCACUUGCAUCCCAGUUAAAGACUAGAACCAGCUGCACACCUGCCUCGACUGCCUUCGAGUCCAGAGACUGUCAGCUAAGCCUGACCUUCAUUGUGUGUGUUUUUUGUCUUCGACCACAAACCUGUAAAGGCUUCGGUGGUGUGUAUGCACGGUUCUGAUUUUAAUGAGAUGCCAUCAUCUGUCUACAAACACACAAACCAGCCAAAAGAGUUAAAUGAUUCACUUGCUGUGUUUGCUUUAAAAGGUUUAAAUGUGAUGACACAUGGAGAGAGCGAAGAAGAAGACGAAGAACAAAGCUACUAAACUACUGAAACUCACAAAGACGCCUCCUGCUUCCAGAACCAUUAGGAGGUGUGGCUGAUCUGCAGCUAUAUGGCUGCCAUAGUGAAAUGUGAGGAUGUGAUGGAGGUUAAGAAAAUACACACAACCAAACUGAAGUUUUAUUCUAGAACAACAUGUCACACAUCCUUUGUUUUAAGAUCAAAUCUGCAAAGUUAAAGAGUUAGGGAUUAGCAGUGGAGCAAACCACUAUUAGGCCUGUGGGGGUGGUAGGGUGUCUGUUUUAAAGCCUAAAAACAUUAUGUGAAGGUGAAAACACAACCAGGCCGGGGAAAGGAAUCCCGAUAAUGUCACAAAGUCCAGGGAAUGAAAAUGCUGUACCGGUGUGUCCAGCCUGCGAGCGUCGGACACACCGCUCA